rnacentral:rRNA from 1 species
AGUGAACGCUGGCGGUAGGCCUAACACAUGCAAGUCGAACGGCAGCACAGUAAGAGCUUGCUCUUACGGGUGGCGAGUGGCGGACGGGUGAGGAAUACAUCGGAAUCUACUUUUUCGUGGGGGAUAACGUAGGGAAACUUACGCUAAUACCGCAUACGACCUACGGGUGAAAGCAGGGGAACUUCGGACCUUGCGCGAUUGAAUGAGCCGAUGUCGGAUUAGCUAGUUGGCGGGGUAAAGGCCCACCAAGGCGACGAUCCGUAGCUGGUCUGAGAGGAUGAUCAGCCACACUGGAACUGAGACACGGUCCAGACUCCUACGGGAGGCAGCAGUGGGGAAUAUUGGACAAUGGGCGCAAGCCUGAUCCAGCCAUACCGCGUGGGUGAAGAAGGCCUUCGGGUUGUAAAGCCCUUUCGUUGGGAAAGAAAAGCAGCAGGUUAAUACCCCGCUGUUCUGACGGUACCCAAAGAAUAAGCACCGGCUAACUUCGUG